AAAAAAAGGCUCUUCUUGAGCCCUGAAAAAAAAAGACUCUUCUUCAGCCCUGAAAAAAAAGACUCUUCUUCAGCCCUGAAAAAAAGACUCUUCUUCAGCCCUGAAAAAAAAAGACUCUUCUUCAGCCCUGAAAAAAAAGACUCCUCUUCAGCCCCGGGGAAAAAAAGGCUCUUCUUCAGUCCUGGAAAAAAAGGCUCUUCUUCAGCCCUGAAAAAAAGGCUCUUCUUCAGCCCUGAAAAAAAAGACUCUUUUUCAGCCCUGGAAAAAAGGCUCUUCUUCAGCCCCGGGAAAAAAAGGCUCUUCUUCAGCCCUGAAAAAAAAAGACUCUUCUUCAGCCCUGGAAAAAAGGCUCUUCUUCAGCCCUGAAAAAAGGCUCUUCUUCAGCCCUGGAAAAAAGCUCUUCUUCAGCCCUGGAAAAAAAAGGCUCUUCUUCAGCCCUGGAAAAAAAAGCUCUUUUUCAGCCCUGAAAAAAGGCUCUUCUUCAGCCCUGGAAAAAAAGGCUCUUCUUCAGCCCUGGAAAAAAGCUCUUCUUCAGCCCUGAAAAAAAAAGACUCUUUUUCAGCCCUGGGAAAAAAAAGGCUCUUCUUGAGCCCUGGAAAAAAGGCUCUUCUUCAGCCCUGAAAAAAAGCUCUUCUUCAGCCCUGAAAAAAGGCUCUUCUUGAGCCCUGAAAAAAAGUCUCUUCUUCAGCCCUGGAAAAAAGGCUCUUCUUCAGCCCUGAAAAAAGGCUCUUCUUCAGCCCUGGAAAAAAAAGGCUCUUCUUCAGCCCUGGAAAAAAAAGGCUCUUCUUCAGCCCUG
rnacentral:lncRNA from 1 species